rnacentral:lncRNA from 1 species
CGACACUGACAAAGUCAUACUUAUUCUAAUAGUAUAGUAGGAUUAUCCAAAAAAAAAAGGAAUCAAUACCAUCAAGCUGACUAAAUAUUGAUACAAAAACAGUUAGAUUAUUCAUGUUUGUGGUGGUUCAACUAAUACAAAUAUUGAUGCUACAAUUAAAAGAAAAAAAAAAUAAAUUUUAACAACUGCAGUUGACAGCACAUGCUUUCAUCUUGGUAUCCACUGAAUGAAAAGAAAAUCAAGCAUUAGAAUCAAAACAUAUCGUACCAAGUCUAGCUAAAUCUUAGAUUAUCAACGAUGGAAAAUUUUCAAUAGUUAACCUAGUUGAAACACCCAUAUUGCUACAAUAUUGCUACAUUCAAGCAAGAAAAAAGCCAAAUGCCGUGAAAAUUUUAUACAGGACAUGUAAAGAGCUGAAAUAUAACAGAAUGUUGUUGCUCAUCUCACCCCUAAAAGUUAGAAACUAUUUACUAAGUGCAGCAAGAAUAGUGGCAGCAAGAAUAGCAUUGGCAAUUCACUGCAAAAAUUUAAUCUUGAAUGAUAUCUACUUGUACUCCCACAAACAUCAUCAACCUUAAUUGGUAGUUGUGUUGUCAAAGCCACAAGAUGAGAGCUGGAAAUUUUCGUUGCGCUUUUCAGCCAAAAAAAAAAAUCGUUGUGCUUUUUCCUUCUCCGCCCCAGCAAAGUUAAGUGUUAGUUGAGAAAUAACAUAGUAGGAAAAAUUAUAUUUAUAUGGUACAUGGACCAUAUGCAAGUUACCUAAGCAAUAAUAUAGUAGGAAAAAAUCAUUCCAGACAGAGCUAGUGGCAAUAAUCAGCAUGAACUUCAUCAUGUAAUAUGCUAUAAUUUCUUUUUCUUUUUUAAGAAAGAAACAUGCUAAUACUUCUUCCUCCCAUUAUCCAAUAUCACUCAUCGCCCGCAUGAAGUGCACCAUCUUAGAACAUGCUAUUAGCCCUUUUCACCUAUACGAUUCAACGUUAUACCAUAAUCAAAUAUUCAAUGGCAUUUGAACCUACCAGAAAAACGGAAAAGGAACUUUACCAAUAACAGUGGCCGUCAAAUGAACUUGUGUUGAGGAUAGUGGCUGAACUUCCAAUAAAAAGCAGUCCACGGUAAAAACUAUACAACAACAACAACAACAAACCCAGUAUAAUCCCAAUAGUGGGGUCAACGGUAAAACUAUAAUACUGGAUUAAUAUCACGAUAUAGUGUAGCUUAGCAAUGGUACCUUCAACAUGUAAUUUACAACCUGAGGCUUUUCUACUUAAUGAAUCUUGACUUUCUGAAAGCUAGUAAUCUCUUCAACCAUUGUUUAAUUGUGAAUUUUUCUGUUAGAUGCUUGAAGAGAACAGUGAGUAUUGGUUUUAAUAAAUGUUAGCAGCUUAUGUAGAGAGACGUUAUGAAAUAAGUGACAUAUUGACUCUUAUUACUUUCUUUUAGCAUGUCCUUCUUUCAAAUGGUCUCUCCAGUUUAUGGCUUGUACAGAAAGCCAUUGAGGCUUGAAUUUGUACAGCAAAGGGGACCCAUUCCUAAGUCUGUGAUUGCAGGAUAAAUAGAUACCAUCUUCGGAAGAAGCUACGAUCUAGUGAAGAAAACUCUGAAGCAACUCAGAUAUGUUUUUUCUCCUUUUCCUUUUUCAUCUACUGAUAAUAUUCCCCUAGAUUGACAUAGUUUUUCACUUUCUUGUAUAGGGUAUUACAUUCCACCAUAAAUUGUUGCUCUUCUUGACCACAAGGAACAUUCAACAGGAUGCUAGUACCAUUAAGGGAGUCGCCAUAAUUAAACUGUGCUCUCUUAUGUUUGCUAAAGCUACUUCUUUUGUUUUGCCACAUUGGCUUCCUAGAUAGUGCACUCAUUCAUGUGAGAGUAUUUUUUUCAAAAUAACUAUGAGAUAUUCCAGUUAAAUUCUAAAUAUCACCAAAAACAUGUAUUGUAUGCAGUAUGCAAAAGAAUGUACAUCGAUGGUUGUUAUACAGUGCUUACUUGUUUGGCAAAAGAAACUUCAAGUUAUCCCAAUUCCAUGGUCACCUUCUCAAAAGUUUCAAACUCAACCCUCCCAACCUGGUAUAAAAUAUGAAGCGGCAAAAUAAGUAGAUCACAUCGAGUCAAAGUAAAGAGAGGGAUGACUAUGAAAUACCUAGAGAUUGAACAUGCAAUACUUAAUUGUAGAGUAAAAUCCUAUCCAACUUGAACAAACAUAAAAUAUCUUAAUUAACGUCCACCAAAGCAGUACUAUUUUGCUAUCUUAUCUGCCAAAGAACAUAGAUCACUACUAUGUAAAAUAAUUCACCUAUAAUUACCCUGUGUACUUUAUUAUAAUCCAUAAAAGCCAUAUCUUGAACCUGGUGAGCUAAACAAAGAAAUCAAGCAUGACACAUCUAUAACAACGUUUAACCCCCCUGAUGCUUUCCUUUGCAACAGAGAGGGCUAUGCCAAUAGAACACAUAAAGAUUGAAGUUCUCACCUCUACUCAAUUCCUCCAUCUGAGAGGUACACCCAACUCUAUUUAUUUUAUUUCAUUCAUGUUCUACAAUAUUUUAUCUAAAUUACUUUUCUCGUUUAAGGAAAAAUAAGUGAAAAUUGAUCAAGUAUAAAAUUUUAGAGUUUUGUUGAGUAAGUAAAGAGGAGCACAAUUACAACCUCUUUUUUAUUUACCAUUUUUAGCAUAUACCCGUUUAAGUUUCACAUUUAUGUCAUAGACUACUGAGGCGCUUCAUGCACCUGCGUGAACAUGCAUGGCAUAGGUAAGCCUACUUCCUAUGAAUCGUUCAUCAUGCAAAAUAAUCUGCUUAAAAUUGACGCUAAUCCAUGUGUUCUCUGUCAAAUAUCCUCUUUCUCCAUCAACAUUCGACUUUAGCUGCAACUAAAAGGUUUCUAGACAAUACAUAAAACUUCCUCACACGCGUUCAAAGCUCAAUGAAAGUUUGGAUGCCUUUUUCCUUUUAACAUUUUGAACUCCUAAUAUGAAGAAAUAGAAAACCCAAUUCUCAUUGUUUGAUGUCUAUCUUGUCAAAACAUCAAAUUUUCAAAUAAAAAACUGCAUACCCCCAAGUAAAAAUGCUUCAACAACCGCUGUAAUUUUUUCCAAAGCUUACCAGUAAAUGAUCUACUCUCAAGUUGGCUCAUAAUCACAUCAUAAAGCAUCAAAGUUGCCUUUAUUGGACUCCUUAAAUAUCACAAGACUAAUAGAGAAUCUACAUAACUUUAAUAAGAACUUACUUGUCAAAAGCUAAGCUCUACAGAGCCAUCCAUUAACUUUUGGAGGUGGUUGAUUUUGAUAUCACUUUGUAUUCUUUGAUGGCCAAAUUUUCAGAAACAGUAAAUUGUUCGCCGGCCAGUUCGAUCAGCCAAUUAAACAAACUGCACAUAGAAUUAGAUAGUAAACCAAAUGCUUAAAAGAAAGAGCAAAAAGUGUCAUAUAAAAACUAAAAGUAUGGACCUAAUUUAGAAGAAUUACAUGCCCACUUCACAGCCAUAAUCAACCUAUUUUUAUGCCAAAAUUAAUUAUUUUUCUUCUUUUAAUAUAACAGGUAUUUUACUGUUUGUUUUUCAGCUCAAUGACAACGAAAGCAAUAUGUACCAGAAAGGACUCAUAUGUUAAAUGCAAAUUUAAUUUUUCCUUGAAGACAACUUGAAAAUUAGUAAUUAGUGUGCAAACCUUUUGGACCAUUUACUUGAAAGCAUUAUCCUUCUUUGAAGUUCUAGAACUUAACACUUCUAAAAGGGCAGGCCGGUGCACAAGGCUAGACGAAAAAAGAAAAUCAUCAUUGGGAGGUUUGACAUGUAACUCUCCUGUAACCAUAAUAUAUACAGUAAAUUAUCUAAAGAUGCUACUUAUUUGUUAUAGCCAAGUUAUAAAAGCAAUAAAUAAGAGGUAGUAUUAAUUUGCAACCAAAAGUAAAAUCUUAAAACCAUCACAGUACAAGAUUCCAUAUUCUCUCAAAAUAUUAUGAUAACAAAUUGACAACAGUCCACCAAAGAAUCACUUUCGGCUAUCAUCAUGUAUAUAAAUUGUGGCUUGUUAACUGCAUGGAGUUGUUGAGUAACCUAAGACUUUUAGAGAAAAUGAGGAGGUAUAUAUUUGUAACAGUAUAAUGUGUGACUCUAAUUCUCAUACGAAUUUUUAGCAUGGGAGAUGUAAUGUCUAGGCUUUUUUCAGUGAAUAAAAUGCCAUUUGGAAUAGUUCUAGUAUAUAUGAAGAAAAACUCAGUGGAAGUUACAAGAGUAAAAAGUGGUGAGAAUCUCAAUAGGAAAAAUAUAAAGCCAAUAUAAGCAAUCUUCCUUCACACAAUUAUCACAACUAAAGUUGGACAUAAGUAAUAGAAGCUCACCACUUAUGUUUAUCCGAUUUUUACCUGUUAAUCUCCAAUGUAUUUGAUUUCAAGAAAAAGGGACAGAGUAACAUUAGUUGAUGCAACUCAAAGACUGAUCAAGAAAAGAAGGAAAAACUAAUAGGGGAGACAUAUACUACAACCAUCCGAAAAAUUGUUGAAUACGUGAAAAAUCAAACAAAACAACCAGCAUUAAAAUGGUAUAGAUACUGAACCAAGCUACAAUCUGCAACAAAACAACAAAUGAAAAAACCAAAAACUAAAAAUCAAAAAGAGAUUAUAUUUCCAGAAUAAUAUACAACCAAGCUAACACAUGCAGCACAAAGAGCAACUUGUUGAAAAUAAGGGAAAAUCAUAACCUGAAAUUUUUAUGUGAAACAGGAUUUGAACACCUGCAGCGCAAAAAAUUUAUUUAAAUUAAAUGCGGUAUAAAUUCACUGACUCCCUGCUAAUUAGUAGGGAGGAAACAGAAAGUUCACAAGAAAAUUUCAAAAGAAACCAAAAAAGAAGAGGACUAAGCAGAGAAGCAGAAGAUUGAAAACAAAACCUGAGCGGAAACAGAAGUACAGAAAAGAAGAAAACUCAGAAGAAGAAAGAACGGCAGCGAGAGAAAGCAAAUAAUAGACGCAUGCAUGUAGGAAAGAACAUCAGAACUAUCGAAAAACAGAGAUCAGUUACCAGAAUUUCCUCUGAUCUUCAGUAAUGUGUUGAAUCCUAUGAAAUAUGUACAUGGAUCUUUAAUUCUCUUAAAGAAAGGAUAAUCAGCAGGGUCAAUUUGGACUCCAAUUCGAAAAUUUGAAAGAAAACCCUAUGGAGGCACGAAAAAGAGCAAACCAGCAACGACAUCAACGAUACAGUAUAAUCCCGCAAAUAUGGGGUGGGGAGGAUAAUAUAUAGGCAGAAUUUAAUUCUAUCCCGAAG